rnacentral:rRNA from 1 species
AUUGAACGCUGGCGGCAGGCCUAACACAUGCAAGUCGAACGAGUGGCGGACGGGUGAGUAAUGUAUGGGAAACUGCCUGAUGGAGGGGGACAACUACUGGAAACGGUAGCUAAUACCGCAUACCAUCGGAUGUGCCCACGUGGGAUUAGCUAGUAGGGGGGGUAAAGGUUCACCUAGGCGACGAUACAUAGCUGGUCUGAGAGGAUGACCGGCCACACUGGAACUGAGACACUGCCCAGAUGCCUACGUGAGGCACCAGUGGGGAAUAUUGCACAAUGGGCGCAAGCCUGAUCCAGCAAUGCCGCGUGUAUGAAGAAGGCCUUCGGGUUGUAAAGUACUUUCAUCGGGGAGGCGUUACCCUCAGAAGAAGCACCGGCUAACUCCGUGCCAGCAGCCGCGGUAAUAC